GAAGCAUUAGAGACAAGCAAAGGAAUAACAUACAUUAAAUCUCAUCAUCUUGAUGUCAGUUAAGAAAAUGGAAGUUUUUUAAACCAAUUUUUAUUCAUUUUCCAUACCAACCACAGUUCCCCUUCCCUCCCCUUUUUCCUGAUGCCCUGAUCACCUCUCCUCAACCCACCCCAUCCACUCCUCAGAAAGACAUUACAAACUAUUUCCAAUGCUACUGGUUAUCUUCCAGAAGUGGACAAUAAGGACAUAUUGCUGAAGAUGUUAUAUAAUUGAGUUACAGAACAUGGAGAAAUUUAGCUGAAUGUCUAGCAGACUCUUCCAUGAAGCAGGAACCCUUCAGGACUAUCCCAUCUUGUUUCAGCAGUCACUUUCCUGUGGUUCGUGCAUGUCCACUUUAUACAGCAUACAGGCAAACAGUCCAGAAGAUCAGUCUUUUGCUCAAAUGGCCAGUCUUGCCAUUUCAAAGUCCUUCAGACCUGGAUGGAAUCCAGUGGCCCUCUGCAGCCUCUCUCCUGAAGACUGCGAGGCUUUUCAACCUCCAUAAAGAUGCAAGAUUAUAAUUACAUCAUUUCUCCCUUCCCUUUCUUUCAUCCAAACAUGCUUUUAACAGAAAACUAUUUUUACACAAGAAGAAGAAUUGAACCAAAGAUCUGAGGAUAACCUUCUCUAUUUUGUGCAUUUCUUUCUCCUUUAUCUUUUAUUAAAAUUUUCUAAUUAAGUGUAGUUUUAACAUAAGUGAUCAAUAUAGAGACAAAUAGACAUAUACAUAGAGAGAUGCUCAACAAAUAGCAUCAGUUUGUCUCUGUUGCUGAUCUUUCAUUGUUCAAGUUCUUAUCAAAUGCAAUCCUUUCCCCUCACUAUUAAUAAAUUUCUUUAUAUC